rnacentral:lncRNA from 1 species
AAGGUAACAGGAGGCAGGGGACCCAGGUUCGGGCCCUCUUGAGGGAGGUAAUACCCUACUUCCUGCUUGAUUGACUUUGAUGAGUAUAGGGGUUACAAGAGUUGAUCUACCUCGAGAUCGUGGUGGCUAAACCCUAGAUGUCUAGCCUGUAUGAUUAUGAUUAUCUCUACGUACUGAACCCUCCAGUUUAUAUAGACACCGGAGGAGGCUAGGGUUAUACAGAGUCGGUUUACAGAGAAAGAAUCUUCAUAUCUGCAUGCCAAGCUUGUCUUGCACGCCAAGGAGAGUCCCAUCCGAACACAGGAGAGAGCCUUCUAUCUUGCAUCUUCACGGCCCAUGAGUCUGGCCCAUGUCGCAUAGCCCGGACACCCGAGGACCCCAUAAUCCAGGACUCCCUCACCUGCAAAUGCACCUGCAACUAGCAACGCUAUAAGAGGGGCUGAGCAAAGCAGUAACAUAGCCAAACGACGGUUUUCUAGGAUGGUGGAAAAGGUUAGAGGCUAUCAUGGCAAUUUGGGAGGCUUGAUAAACAAGUGGUAGGUAGCGCGACAUAGCGACAGCAUCGAGACAACUAGCAUAGCAAAGAUAAUAGUGAGAUUCAAGGUGACGGUCAUCUUGCCUAAAAUUCCGUAGGAAGAAGAUCGAGUCCAUGAAGAAGACGAACGGCAUAGAUGAACCAAGGGAAGUCGAACAAAUCCUCACAAUCGCAACGAAACACGAACUAUCGGGAAGAAGCACAACCGAAAAGAAGGAAACAACAUAGUAAACACCCAACACAUAAACUCGACAUGAUGCUCAACCAAGUAUGAUGCAUGACAAGGCUAGAUGAUGCUACUCAUGACAAGAGAUGAUGCAUACAAGAUCACCACAUCAAAGCAAGUUUAAAUGAGGCCGGAAUCAACAUACAACAAUUCUGGUAAGUCCCCAUAUGCAAAUUUCGAAAUUGGUCCAGAUCUGAAAACACAUUAUGUUGAAGUUUUUAAACAGCAAGUUAAAGUGCACCAAGAUGAUCUACACGUCUUUCUAGUCAAGUUACAUAUAAGGUUCAUUUAAUUCGGAGCUACGGCCUGGAAGAUAUGAGUAAAACAAGUUAAACAUGACACUGAUGCAAAUGCAAGCAAAACACAAUCACAAACACUCCAAAACAUGGAUGCAACAUGGCAUGAUGAACCUACAUGCAAAACCAAGCAAGUUUCCUAUAGAUCAUGCUCAAAACGGAGCAACGGUUCAACACAUACACUCAAUACAAGAUAUAACAACAACUUGCCCAAAACAGCAACUAGGCACUUUGCAGUUACCAAAACAACAUGCUACAGGAACUAUAUGGGCAUAAACAUGACAUGCACUUCAAGUACAGAUUACAUACUUCAAUUAGCAUCAAGGUUCAGGUUCAUAGGCAUCAAUAUUAAACCAAUAUGAUCAAUGCAACAAGCAACUUUAUAACACAGAUUAUGACAGUGAAAAACAGGGCAUACAUGUGAGCAACAAUAACAUGUUGACAUGUUGGAGGCAUGAAACGAUGAUGCUGCAUUGCAAGAUCAUGGCAAACAAAAGCAUGGCAUUAAUUUACAAGUUAUACAUGGCAAAAGAUGAUUGCUAAGCAUCUCCAUGUAACCUCUAGAUCAAUGGAAUUCAUCAAGACAAGAUUGCAAGUUAUAACAUAUUCUCAGACUUAGUGAAAAACAGAGUAUGGCAGAAAACAGAUUCAUGAUGCAUAUUUUGAGACGUUACAGGAACAUAUCAUGGCAAGCAAGAUCAUGGUAUGCUAGUACUAAAUGCACUUAACAAAAUACCCUCACUGAACAUGUUCCAGAAACACAUAGAUAAGAUGAUAGCAUCAAUGCAAAAUGGAAAGUUAUGCCGACAGUUCCAGACUUAGCAAAAUAAACAUGGCAAGGCAGAAAUAGAUUUAUGAUAGUAUGUUUGCAAGCUUGUUGCACUCACCACCGUCCACUUCAUGGCAUGAAAUAAAUUCUAGCAGCAAGAUGGCAUGCUUGUACUCCUACUCAUGUCAUGAAAUUGCUCAUAUGGACAUCACACAAAAUCAUAUAAAAAUGGCAAAAUGGCAUAUGCUGUAAAAUAACAUGUUCACAAACUUGCUCAAAUGAUGAAAUGGAUGCUAUAGAUGGAUUGGUGGGAUUUUUACUGUGCAAAAUGAUAUAUAAUAUGCAUAUGUUAAUGAAGAAAAAUGCUCACAAGUGCUAUAAGUUAAAACACUGCCUAAUAAGGAAAUAGACAUAAAUGAAAAACUGCAAGAUCUGGAAUGUCCAGAUUUGAACCUGCCCGAUUUGGAAAGAUGCCUCUGUCCAGAAAUGGAAUUUCGGGAAAUAUGAAAAUAAAGAAAAGGGAGUUGUGUGCGUGUGUAUGAACAGGGGCGGAGCCAGGAUUUGAACAUAGGGGGGCGAAGAGGACAAUGCACGUGCAAAAAAUGCAACACAAACUUAUAUCAUUCUUAAAUAUAGUGUUGAUAUCAAACAAACAAUGAUUUUCUUUUUGCAAUUACAUUGAAAUAGCUACAUUUUUUUAUUCACUUAGAUGUAUAUCGACACACAACAGGUCCAUCAAACCAUCAAAUGUCAAGCUUUGUAGCGAUUUCACUCCUAAAAUAUAUACAUGUCGCUCUGCAUUCUCAUAGUAGAGUGAGUGGUUAAAAAAAUUGGCUUCAAUUGUUAGUUAUUGGCGUUCUCUUCUUAUUCAUGCUUUAUGCAAUUCUAGACUUCCAGUUACUAUAAAAACAGAUAUAUCAUUUGUAAUUGAUUCUAACUAGUAAGUUUGUCCAAGUCAAAUGUUAAAUUAAUAAUAUAUCCAUGUAGCAUACCUUAGGUUGAGAUUAGACAAACCCACAAGUCGUGCUGUGAGAGCCCAGAGGGGGAGAUGUUUGCCAAUUAGUAGAUCAGCCUGUGGAGUUGUGGUUUAGGGUAGGAGUUGGGCGAGGCCCUGAGCGUGUGCGCAAAUGGAGGCGAGGCACUGACGUUGCUGCGUGCGCGCGGUGAAGAGCACUAGGGAAUCAGAGCGGAGUGAUGUACGGGCAACCGCAACCAUGGAAAAAAACACCAGCCUUGGCUAGAGCACGGAGUACGUGGCGUUGGUAGGGAAGUAACGACAUGUACGGGGAUCGAUGCGCGACGGGAAGGAUCAGGGAGGUGCAGCUGCUCACCUAGUCCCACAGGACAUGAAGACGAGGCAGAAGGCACGGCAGACACGACGCAGGGCGCGCGGAACUUGGCGGUCUUCAGGUCUGUGAAGAAGAGGAAGAAGACGGGUCAGAGAGGUCGAUCCAGAGGCCGUCUCGAUGCGUGCGUCAUAGAAGGAGACAAAGAGGAACUUGGCGGUCUUCUCCACGGCGGCAGAGGUGGUCGGAGGCGCGGCGAGGGGCUAUCCCGAGCUCGAGCUAAAGCUCGCUUGGGUCAUGGCGGGCAGCGCGACGGCGUGGCAUGGCUAGCCUUACCUGGCGGCGGUGAGGGAAGGAGAGGGUCUGAAUCGGUCGA